rnacentral:rRNA from 1 species
CCCCGAGUGGUCGGGACGAUUAUUGGGCCUAAAGCAUCCGUAGCCGGUACUGCAAGUCUUCCGUUAAAUCCACCUGCUUAACAGAUGGGCUGCGGAGGAUACUACAGCGCUAGGAGGCGGGAGAGGCAAGCGGUACUCAAUGGGUAGGGGUAAAAUCCGCUGAUCCAUUGAAGACCACCAGUGGCGAAGGCGGCUUGCCAGAACGCGCUCGACGGUGAGGGAUGAAAGCUGGGGGAGCAAACCGGAUUAGAUACCCGGGUAGUCCCAGCUGUAAACGAUGCAGACUCGGUGAUGGGCUGGCUUUGUGCCAGCCCAGUGCCGCAGGGAAGCCGUUAAGUCUGCCGCCUGGGGAGUACGGUCGCAAGACUGAAACUUAAAGGAAUUGGC